rnacentral:rRNA from 1 species
UACGUAGGGGGCAAGCGUUAUCCGGAUUUACUGGGUGUAAAGGGAGCGUAGACGGUGAUGUAAGUCAGAUGUGAAAGCCCGGGGCUCAACUCCGGGACUGCAUUUGAAACUAUGUUGCUGGAGUGCAGGAGAGGUAAGUGGAAUUCCUAGUGUAGCGGUGAAAUGCGUAGAUAUUAGGAGGAACACCAGUGGCGAAGGCGGCUUACUGGACUGUAACUGACGUUGAGGCUCGAAAGCGUGGGGAGCAAACAGG